rnacentral:rRNA from 1 species
UACAUAGGGGGCGAGCGUUAUCCGGAUUUACUGGGCGUAAAGGGUGCGUAGGUGGUUAUAAAAGUUUGUGGUGUAAGUGCAGUGCUUAACGCUGUGAGGCUAUGAAAACUAUAUGACUAGAGUGAGACAGAGGCAAGUGGAAUUCCAUGUGUAGCGGUAAAAUGCGUAAAUAUAUGGAGGAACACCAGUGGCGAAGGCGGCUUGCUGGGUCUAAACUGACACUGAUGCACGAAAGCGUGGGGAGC